rnacentral:rRNA from 1 species
GGAGGUUGGCUUAGAAGCAGCCAUCCUUGAAAGAGUGCGUAAUAGCUCACUGGUUAAGUGGUGAUGCGCCGAUAAUGUAGUGGGGCUUAUAAAGUACACCGCCGAAACCGCGGCAACACACAUUGUGUGUGUUGGGUAGGGGAGCGUCGUGCAUGCGUGGAAGCUGUCACGGAAGUGGUGGUGGAGUGUGUGCGAGUGAGAAUGCAGGCAUGAGUAGCGAAAAACAUGUGGAAAACGUGUUCGCCGGAUGACUAAGGGUUCCUGGGUGAAGCUAAUCUUCCCAGGGUGAGUCGGGACCUAAGGCGAGGCCGACAGGCGUAGUCGAUGGAUAACGGGUUGAUAGUCCCGUACCCGUGUAUGCGCGACAAGUGGUGACUCGGUUGUACUAACCACCCACCACCGCGGGAUCAAUGCUUUUGGUGUUGGUUUGGUGUGUGGUGCGUGGGAUCUUGAUCGUUGGUAGCCAAGCGAUGGGGUGACACAGAUUGGUAGUCAAGGCCACUUAUUGGAUUGUGGUGUAAGCGUGUGGCCCGCAGGAUAGGUAAAUCCGUUCUGCAUAUAGGGUGAGGCGUGAUGCGUACCCAGAUUUGGGGAUGUUUGAUGUGCCUGUGCUGUCGAGAAAAGCCUCUAGCGAUGUGUGUGCACGGCCCGUACCGGAAACCGACACAGGUGGUCUGGUUGAGGAUACUAAGGCGUUCGGGUGAACUAUGGUUAAGGAACUCGGCAAAAUGCCCCCGUAACUUCGGGAGAAGGGGGGCCAUGUGCGGCAAUCACCCCUUGUGCGGUGUGCGUUGUGUGUGGCCGCAGAGAAGUGAGGGAAGCGACUGUUUAUUAAAAACACAGGUCCGUGCGAAGACGUUGCAAGUCGAGGUAUACGGACUGACGCCUGCCCGGUGCUGGAAGGUUAAGAGGACUCGUGAGCAUGCCCUUUGUGGUGUGUGAGGCGGGUAAUUGAAGCCCCAGUAAACGGCGGUGGUAACUAUAACCAUCCUAAGGUAGCGAAAUUCCUUGUCGGGUAAGUUCCGACCUGCACGAAUGGCGUAACGACUUCCCUGCUGUCUCAACCAUAGGCCCGGUGAAAUUGCAGUACGAGUAAAGAUGCUCGUUUCGCGCGGCAGGACGAAAAGACCCCGGGACCUUUACUAUAGCUUGGUAUUGGUGUGUGCUGCAGCUUGUGUAGGAUAGGUGGGAGACGGUGAAGCGCCCACGCUAGUGGGUGUGGAGUCAUUGGUGAAAUACCACUCUGGUUGUUGUGUGCAUCUAACUGUGGGCCCUGAUCGGGUUUUGGGACAGUGCCUGGUGGGUAGUUUAACUGGGGCGGUUGCCUCCUAAAUGGUAACGGAGGCGCCCAAAGGUUCCCUCGGCUUGGUUGGUAAUCAGGUUUUAGAGUGUAAGUGCAGUAAGGGAGCUUGACUGUGACACUGACGGGUGGAGCAGGUGCGAAAGCAGGGACUAGUGAUCCGGCAUCAACGUGUGGGUGUGGUGUCGCUCAACGGAUAAAAGGUACCCCGGGGAUAACAGGCUGAUCUUCCCCAAGAGUUCAUAUCGACGGGAUGGUUUGGCACCUCGAUGUCGGCUCGUCGCAUCCUGGGGCUGGAGUAGGUCCCAAGGGUUGGGCUGUUCGCCCAUUAAAGCGGCACGCGAGCUGGGUUUAGAACGUCGUGAGACAGUUCGGUCUCUAUCCGCCGCGCGCGUGGAAACUUGAACAAGGCUGUCCCUAGUACGAGAGGACCGGGAUGGACGUACCUCUAGUGUGCCAGUUGUCACGCCGGUGGCAUGGCUGGUUGGCUAUGUGCGGGAGGGAUAACCGCUGAAAGCAUCUAAGCGGGAAGCCUGUUGUGAGAUGAGGUUUCU